GAUGAACGCUGGCGGCGUGCCUAAUACAUGCAAGUCGAGUGAAUGGAUUAAGAGCUUGCUCUUAUGAAGUUAGCGGCGGACGGGUGAGUAACACGUGGGUAACCUGCCCAUAAGACUGGGAUAACUCCGGGAAACCGGGGCUAAUACCGGAUAACAUUUUGAACCGCAUGGUUCGAAAUUGAAGGGCGGCUUCGGCUGUCACUUAUGGAUGGACCCGCGUCGCAUUAGCUAGUUGGUGAGGUAACGGCUCACCAAGGCAACGAUGCGUAGCCGACCUGAGAGGGGGAACGGCCACUCUGGGACUGAGACGCGGCCCAGACUCCUACGGGAGGCAGCAGUAGGGAAUCUUCCGCAAUGGACGAUAGUCUGACGGAGCAACGCCGCGUGAGUGAUGAAGGCUUUCGGGUCGUAAAACUCUGUUGUUAGGGAAGAACAAGUGCUAGUUGAAUAAGCUGGCACCUUGACGGUACCUAACCAGAAAGCCACGGCUAACUACGUGCCAGCCGCCGCGGUAA
rnacentral:rRNA from 1 species